AGGCCGUUAGCUCGAUGGUUCGAGCAGCCGGCUCAUAACCGGUUGGUGCAGGUUCGAUUCCCGCACGGCCUACCU
rnacentral:tRNA from 1 species